CCUACGGGUGGCAGCAGUGAGGAAUAUUGGUCAAUGGGCGCGAGCCUGAACCAGCCAAGUAGCGUGAAGGAUGACUGCCCUACGGGUUGUAAACUUCUUUUAUAAAGGAAUAAAGUGAGGCACGUGUGCCUUUUUGUAUGUACUUUAUGAAUAAGGAUCGGCUAACUCCGUGCCAGCAGCCGCGGUAAUACGGAGGAUCCGAGCGUUAUCCGGAUUUAUUGGGUUUAAAGGGAGCGUAGAUGGGUUGUUAAGUCAGUUGUGAAAGUUUGCGGCUCAACCGUAAAAUUGCAAUUGAUACUGGCAGUCUUGAGUACAGUUGAGGUAGGCGGAAUUCGUGGUGUAGCGGUGAAAUGCGUAGAUAUUAGGAGGAACACCAGUGGCGAAGGCGACUUUCUGGACGAUAACUGACGUUGAGGCACGAAAGUGUGGGGAGCAAACAGGAUUAGAUACCCCAGUAGUC
rnacentral:rRNA from 1 species